rnacentral:ncRNA from 1 species
UUCAAGUUUUAUUCUUGCUUUUUCAUUCAGUUUUUAUUUGUUCUAUAUGUAAGUUUUUGUGUGAUUUUUUAUAAUUCUAAAUGGAUUUAUUGUUUUUAAUUUUUAUUCUCAUUAGUUAUUAUUGGUUGGUCAAGUAUUCUUGUAUUCAGCAAUAUAUUUUAAUUUCGGUUAAAUUUUGUGCCAGCAGCCGCGGUUAUACCUUGGAAGUGUUUGAAUGUGUUCGGCAUUUGUAGUUUUAUAUUAUUUAGUUUAUUUGAUUUGUUUUUACUGAUUGUUAGGUGAAAUUUUUUUUGCUAGUGUUUUGUUUUUUAUCUAUUUGUAGGCUAUGAAAUUCUUUUUUUAAACUAGGAUUAGAUACCCUAUUAUUUUUGAAUGUUAAUUGGUUUAAUGUGCUUGAGUAGUAUUAGUUAUGUUCUUGAAACUUAAAGAAUUUGGCGGUAUCUCACUCCGUCCAGAGGAAUCUGUCUCGUUAUCGAUAGUCCGCGUUGGACCUUACUUAGAUUGCUUGGGUUUGUAUACCGCCGUUUAUUGAUUAUCUUUUUAGAGUUAUUAAUUUUCUAGUUUCUUUAUUUUGAUUUAUUUCAGGUCAAGGUGCAGCUUGUUUCUUAGUGGAAUGAUGGAUUACAUUGUGAUUUGUUUUGUGGAUUGUCGGUUUUAAUAUUGGCAUGAAAUUGGAUUUGGUUGUAAUUAUUUGUAGAUUGUUAUUAUGAUAACUGGUUCUGGGAUAUGUACACAUCGCCCGUCGCUCUCGUUUAUUGUUAAUGAGAUAAGUCGUAACAAAGUGGUUGUACCGGAAGGUGCGGCUGGAUUGAU